rnacentral:rRNA from 1 species
GGUGAAGCAUUUACUGCGUAAGCUCAUGCCGGUCGAAGAUACCAGGCCGCUGCGACUGUUUAUUAAAAACACAGCACUCUGCAAACACGAAAGUGGACGUAUAGGGUGUGACGCCUGCCCGGUGCCGGAAGGUUAAUUGAUGGGGUUAGCGCAAGCGAAGCUCUUGAUCGAAGCCCCGGUAAACGGCGGCCGUAACUAUAACGGUCCUAAGGUAGCGAAAUUCCUUGUCGGGUAAGUUCCGACCUGCACGAAUGGCGUAACGAUGGCGGCGCUGUCUCCACCCGAGACUCAGUGAAAUUGAAAUCGCUGUGAAGAUGCAGUGUAUCCGCGGCUAGACGGAAAGACCCCGUGAACCUUUACUAUAGCUUUGCACUGGACUUUGAAUUUGCUUGUGUAGGAUAGGUGGGAGGCUUUGAAGCGUGGACGCCAGUCUGCGUGGAGCCAACCUUGAAAUACCACCCUGGCAACUUUGAGGUUCUAACUCAGGUCCGUUAUCCGGAUCGAGGACAGUGUAUGGUGGGUAGUUUGACUGGGGCGGUCUCCUCCUAAAGAGUAACGGAGGAGUACGAAGGUGCGCUCAGACCGGUCGGAAAUCGGUCGUAGAGUAUAAAGGCAAAAGCGCGCUUGACUGCGAGACAGACACGUCGAGCAGGUACGAAAGUAGGUCUUAGUGAUCCGGUGGUUCUGUAUGGAAGGGCCAUCGCUCAACGGAUAAAAGGUACUCCGGGGAUAACAGGCUGAUACCGCCCAAGAGUUCAUAUCGACGGCGGUGUUUGGCACCUCGAUGUCGGCUCAUCACAUCCUGGGGCUGAAGCCGGUCCCAAGGGUAUGGCUGUUCGCCAUUUAAAGUGGUACGCGAGCUGGGUUUAGAACGUCGUGAGACAGUUCGGUCCCUAUCUGCCGUGGACGUUUGAGAUUUGAGAGGGGCUGCUCCUAGUACGAGAGGACCGGAGUGGACGAACCUCUGGUGUUCCGGUUGUCACGCCAGUGGCAUUGCCGGGUAGCUAUGUUCGGAAAAGAUAACCGCUGAAAGCAUCUAAGCGGGAAACUUGCCUCAAGAUGAGAUCUCACUGGAACCUUGAGUUCCCUAAAGGGCCGUCGAAGACUACGACGUUGAUAGGUUGGGUGUGUAAGCGCUGUGAGGCGUUGAGCUAACCAAUACUAAUUGCCCGUGAGGCUUGACCAUAUAACACCCAAGCAAUU